UCGCACACAACAUCGGUGCCGUACAAGGAGGAGGUGGACUGAUUGUGCUGUAGGACCCUGAAAUAAAAGAGUAAUAAAUAUAUAUUUAUAUUCAGAACCAUAUUCAAUCACAUAAGAAGCAUAUCUUUGAACAUUAGAACAUACGACUACUCAUAUCAAAUCAUCUUCAGCAGCCUACCUGGCAGAUGGCUUGUAGACCUUGGCAAUGUUUCCAUCUUCUCGGGCUAUCUUGUUGUACGAAUUGACCAGCUCACGUAUGGAGUAGGGCUCGUUAAAGUCGAUGCGCAUGAGGCCGUAGUUUGAUUUCAGGGCCUUCCAAAUGCCCGAAAUGGCCUUGCCGAAUGAUUCGGGUAUCUUCUUCUCGCCCUUUUGUUCGCGCACAAAGUUUCCGUCGACGAGACGCUCGUAGUUUACGGAAACGGGUACCAGCAGUGCGUCCGGUAUGCUGCCGUCCAUGAAGGCGUUCACAAUCACAGAAAGAAUGCCGCCCUUGGGCAUGCACGGCUUGCCAGUGCGCGUUCGUCCGCCCUCGAUGAAGAACUCGACGUUGUGGCCCUGCUUCAAGGCGUGGGUCAGAUACAGGUGUAGAGCAGCGCGAUAAAGCACGUCCUUCUUGCCCUCCACAGGAUCAAUCUUGCGUUUGAUGAAGAAAGCACCCAAACCACGUAGGAGCCCACCAAAGACCGGAAUUUGCAGGUUGUUGCCAGCGGCUACCAGAGGACUGCGUAUAUCGUUGUUCGUGAGUAUCCAUGUGACCAUGAUGUAGUCCAAGUGGCUGCGAUGCAGCGGAACAAAUAUCAGCGGAGUGCCCGGCGAACGCUCUGUGGCUGUUUUGAGCAUCUCGAUCUGCUUCGUGUUCGUAACGACUCCGGAGAGGAAGCAGGGCAGCAACUUGUACAGGAUCCAGGAAGUGAAGGCCAAAAGGCCAUUGUUCAGAGUGGAGCCCAUGUCCUUCAGUAUGCUAAUGGCGCGCUGCUCCUGCUUACGCAGAAUGGCCUGAUAGGAUAUACCCCUCUUCUCGUCCUCCUCCUCCUGCGCCUCCUGAUCUCCACUAGCACUGCGCGUGAGCAGACGAUGACCAUUUUUAGCAUAUCUCUGCUCCCUUAGCGUCUGCUCGGCGGCCUGUUUAAUUGCAUGCUUCAGUACAGCAUCGUUGUGCACGAUCUCGGUGACCUAAGGGGAUGCAGUUCAAGGUAACUACAGGUUUUAUGAGCUUUAAGGGGUCACCCACCUGUCGGUACUCGAACUUCUCGCUGCGCACCACCUGGGCAACAUAUGGGAAGAGCACGCCCCAGUCGAAUAGCUUCUUAAAAGGCUUCUGACCCGAAUGCGGGGUCAGCUCCAACAUAUUCUGCGUCCCAAUGCCAUGAGCCACCGAAUUCUGCGUCUUGGGCUCCUGCAAUGAAACGAUCGGAACAAUUCUGUGAUUGUGAUGCAACUGGCAUGCAUAUAGACGUCAUGCAGGCGGGUCAAUUGGUACCUCGAACCAGCCGCGAGCGUGAAACUCCUCCAUGGGCAUUCCAGCCAAGAGAUUCUACCGUUCUACAGCACUUUCAAAUUGUAAAUUUAUAAUUUACGCAUUUACCCAUGCGCCCGGCUUUUUUUGCAGGAAAUCGACGGCCGAUAAGUCCUUCUCAGCUUUCAGGAUUGUUAUCGAUUGGCAGGAUGAUGUGGCAACGCCACGAGUAUUUAAUUUAAAAUAGUGCAAACUUUUA
ensembl:ncRNA asRNA:CR46452 antisense RNA:CR46452